CCUACGGGUGGCUGCAGUGGGGAAUAUUGGACAAUGGGCGAAAGCCUGAUCCAGCCAUGCCGCGUGUGUGAAGAAGGCCUUCGGGUUGUAAAGCACUUUCAGUGGGGAAGAAAGCCUUGGGGCUAAUACCCUCGAGGAAGGACAUCACCCACAGAAGAAGCACCGGCUAACUCCGUGCCAGCAGCCGCGGUAAUACGGAGGGUGCGAGCGUUAAUCGGAAUUACUGGGCGUAAAGCGCGCGUAGGCGGUCUGAUAAGCCGGUUGUGAAAGCCCCGGGCUCAACCUGGGAACGGCAUCCGGAACUGUCAGGCUAGAGUGCAGGAGAGGAAGGUAGAAUUCCCGGUGUAGCGGUGAAAUGCGUAGAGAUCGGGAGGAAUACCAGUGGCGAAGGCGGCCUUCUGGACUGACACUGACGCUGAGGUGCGAAAGCGUGGGUAGCAAACAGGAUUAGAUUACCCAGUAGUC
rnacentral:rRNA from 1 species